rnacentral:lncRNA from 1 species
GCCUGAUAUUCAGUCUGUGAGCUGGGAGCCUGUUGGCAGGUCCCUCUUUUUAUUUUCGCUGAGAGCUUUCUUUUACUAAAUGCCACCAUCCUUACCUUUCAAGGUGUCUGCGUGCCUAAUUUUUCCUGGUUGUUAGACAAGAACCCGGAUUUUAGUUGAACUCUGGAGCAAAAAUCCUGCAUCAUUUGUAGGUCAACAACAAGAGGCCAGGACCUCCCAAGAAAAGCUUUACUAAUGUAAUAGCUUUGGCCAAGUCCACCCAAUAUAUUUUCCUCUCUGCAAAGAGAAACAAGCUAUUGUCUCAUCUUAGGUUUCAUCUUCUUCCAUGCCACUGUUAUUCAUGUUCAAAUCCUGGCUGUCCUUCAGGGUCCAAUUCAAAUGAUUAUCGCCAUUUUCUAUUAAUGUCAUUUCUUCCUAUUUUCUACCUUUUGUUAGCUAUGUUAAAGUGUUUCUUUACCAACAUCCCCCAUAUAUUGUGUAACACAGUGUCUAUGGCUUACUCAUUUUUGAAUCCUUAUCAUGACCUGACAUAAUGAAGAUUCUUAGUACAUAGUGAUACAUGUAAAUAUGAGUUAAUUAGUACAUGAUAGACUUGAUUUCCAGAAUGAUUUUGUAUAGUUGAAUUGUGUAGUAAGGGGACACAUGUGAAAUGAAGACUUUAGUCAGUAUCAAGAAGAUAUUUUGGGUGACUUCACAUAUCUGCCAAUGAUAAAUCUAGAAACAAUAGGUGCUUGGGUAGGUGAUUUCCUUUUGCCUUCUUUAUCAUUGUUUUCCCAGUAUUUCUUACAUUCAUCUAAUUUCAUUAGAUGCCCAUAUACUUUAUACUGGCUCUUCCUGUGAGGUUCGAACUGGUCCAGUCCAUUUGUUUUCAGAAUUGAUUCAUCUGGAGAGUCAUCUCCUAUCCUCCCAAACAAUGAUAUACCAGUCUGAGGACUGUGUAGAAGGGACUUCUCUUUCUACUCAGUAUGACCAAAAUAAUUCAAUUCUAGUUGUGGUGUGUGAUUUAUGAAUAUUUUGUCCUUUAGUUUGUGUGAGCCAAUUUUGUGCCAUAAGAAUUUUAGCCUCCUUUUCCACAAAAGAGUGAUUUAAUCAAACAAAAGUUGACAAUCAAUGUAGUACAUUUGUGUGACAGUGAUUAAACAUGGUGUUUUUCUCUUAGGUGUCUGAGUAGAUUUGGAAAUGCCCAUUCAGCCCUCAGAGCUCCUCUGCUUUAAGGGUGAUGGACUUCCUGUACCACUACGUAGUGCAUGAGUGCCAGCCACUGGUAUCUAGAACUGUGAUUAGUGAGGAAACACUAGGAGGAACAAACAACCCAACUCUUUUUAUCUAAUCUGUUGACUCCAAAGGGACCUUCUGCUUAUUCCAGUUAAAACUCAAGCUGCAAUUCAAAAUGAAAUCAGUAUCUUUUUUCUCUACUUUUCAGCAAAGCAAGAUGCUACCUUAUAAUUACCACGUAACAAUCAAUCGCAAACAUAGUGGCUUAAAGCAGCUCCUCUUUUAGCCUACAUAUCUGCAAACUGGCAGUCUGGACUGAGCUCAGCUGGAUGUUUUUUCUGAGCUGAUCAUGUAUGUAGGGUCUGCUGCUGGCUGGUUUAGACUGAUGGUGGAUGAGAAACCACAUGAAGAAGAGAGGCAUGAUGGUGGCAGAGUUCUGAAAGAGUCACACAGAAGGGCGUUGAGUUCGUGGCUUGAAAAUAGCAUCCUGUCACUUCUACCACAUUCUAUUUACCAGGCCAGCCCAGAUAAAGAUGUGAAGAAACAGACUCCAUCUCUUGAUGGGAGAAGUUGAAAAUCAAUGGAAAAUGGCAUGGAUAAGGAAAGGAGUGAUGAUUGUGGCCAUAUUUGUAAUGGCCAUAUUUGAUACCCUUUUCAGUUUUCCUAGCCACACUUCUCAUUGGCCAGGAAAAUUAAAUGCAUGUCAACACUGAAGAAAACAGAUCUUGGUUAAAAGCAAUGAUGUAGCUAAUAUCCCGUUCAGGUAAAAGAUUACUUAUAUAGUGUGAGACAGGCAUGAGGCAGAGAAGUGCUUACAGGUUGGUUUCUGCUUUGUUAGCAGAUUUACUUUUAGAUCAUAUACUACUUUGUUUUUACUGUUUUAUUGAGAAAAAAUAACAAAUAUUUCCAAAAUUUUGCAGCAUGCAACUCAGUGCUUCAGUUGGCAUUCAAUCAAAAUUUCCUUGAAAUAAAAAAAGACAAGAGAGAGACUUGGAAUUAUGACUCUUCUACUAGAUUAGCUCCUUCAUGUCAAAAUCUGUCAAGUUUAUGAUUUAUUCAGAUAGCACUUGUUUUUGGUGUAAUAACUAAACUGUUGCUUUAGAGUCUACUACAUUCUCCUCUAUUAUUUGGCAUUUUUCUCUUUAUUAUUUUGUUCAAGUAGGAUAUUGUGCUGAGUUGAACCAUGAAAUGAAUUGUAUUGAGCAACAUCAACAACAUAAAUAUUCUGGGGUGUCAUCUGCAUUUUCAUAUCUGGCUGCUCAAAUUCUUUUUACAGCUAUAGCUUUGAUAAUAAUGUAAUAGCAUAAUGUUUUUCAUUAGAUAUCAAAUCAUAGAAGACAACAAAGAUGUGUUAAGUUAGCAUAGUUUAAUAUAAGGAAACAACAGCAUCAGUAAAAGCAUUGAGCACUAAAUAUCUCUUCCAUUUCAGUUCUUUUACAGGAAGCUUUUGUUACGUGUUGUCAGCACAUUGCUGUGAUGCUCAAGUAUAGCUCUUUAAUGUGAAAACCUGGUAUUUGGGCAUGGCUUGAAGCAGGUGGGUGUCAUUGUGACUGGCUGCUACCUCCCCAUGAGUCUUCUAAAAUAAAACCUGCAAAUUCACAUCUUCCCCAUGCUUCCAGAGAAUGCAUAUUCUUCCUUUGAAAAAAGAAAACCAGCACUGUUCAUAAUAGCCAAGAUUUGGAAGCCACCUAAGUGUCCAUCAACAGAUGAAUGGAGAAACUGUGGUACAUAUACACAACGGAGUGCUAUUCAGCCAUAAAAAAGAAUGAUACUCUGUCAUCUGCAACAACAUGAAUGGAACUGGAGAUCAUUAUGUUGUUAAAUAAGCCAGACACAGAAAGACAAACAUCACAUAUUUUCACUUAUUUUGGGGAUAUAAAAGUCAAAACAAACUCAUGGAGAUAGAGAACAGAUAGACGGUUACCAGAGGCUAGGAGGAGGAGUGGUGGGGGGCAGUUAGUGAUGGUUAAUUGGUACAAAAAAAUGGUUAGAAAUAAUAAAUAAGACCUAGUAUUAGAUAGGACAACAGGAGGACUAUAGUCAAAAAUAAUUUAUUUGUACAUUUCAAAGUAACUAAAAGAGUGUAAUUGUAUUAUUUGUAGCACAUAGGAUAAAUGCUUGAGGUGACGGAUACCCCAUUUACCCUGAUGUGAUUAUUACACAUCGUAUGCCUGUACCAAAAGAUCUCAUGUACCUCAUAAAUACAUACACCUACUAUAUACCCACACAAAUUAAAAAUUAAAAAAAUUUAAAGAAAUUACAGUUUGUUGGUUUUGAAUAUUUGACCAAAUUUUUUACUAAGCACAGAUAGAUUGAAUAUAAUUUUAUUGUCCUUUUGACAUUAUGAUAAUGAAGGUAUCUACACAGAAGUCUGAGAUGAGAAAAAAAUGAUAUAAUAUCCACCUACUACAUAGUGGGUAGUUUAUAUACUAAAGUUAUUGUUAUGAGAAAGAAUGGCUUAGGAAUAUUAUUUAAAAUUAAUUAAGGGGUGUUAAAAAUAAAAUACCAAGUGUAAAAAUGACAAAGGCAAGAAGAAACAGUAUAUAAUGUGAGUAAAUCUUAAUCUUUCCAAGAGAGGAGACAGUACAUAAUGUCUAAAAUUGUUAAACCAUGAAAUAGAAAUAUAGUUAUUUUAUUCAUAAUUAAGGAGAUAACUACUAUAGCACGAAAUCGUGCCAAAAAUGGUUGCCUCUGGGAAAUGUGAUUAUAGAUAUUAUAAUAUUUUGGACUGUAAAAAUCUGCUUUUAAGACUGAGGAAAUACAAAUAGGACAAUAUUUAUUUGAAAUUUGUAUCCUCAGGGAGUGUAAAGAAAUUAAUGUAUCCACAAAAUAAUAAUAGCUGCUAUUUGAAAACAUAGUUUUCUUGAAAGUUAAAAUAGUAAUAGUCUUCUAAAAAUUUUGUUAGUUUUGGUUUUCUCUUUAAUCUGAGUUAUGUAGAAAAGUGCUUAUUUCAAAUUAGGUAGGCUUGUUUUAUUCCUUUUUCUGUCUUUUUUCUAUCAACUAGUGUUUUAUUGUGUUCAGAAAAUGCCAUGCAUUAAAAGACUACUUUUGAGAAUUUCUAGAGAUUUUCUUUGUUACUAAAGAGAUUUUUGUAAUUGUUACAUGGGAUUUUAAAAAGAAUGUAAAUUAUCCUUUUUGUCAAGUAUAAUGAUUUCUGAAACCUAGCUGUGUCAGAAUACUGUAUAAUACUGUAAUAGUAUGUUGUUUUUGGCUAUGUGUACUUAUUUCUUAGAGUGGUAUGUUAAAGCCUCGACCUUGUGACUUUGUUUAUUUCUCUCUCUACAUCUAAACAUUUCCAAGACAUGUUAUUUGCAAUACCAAGACCAUAACUAUUAUGUAUUUAAUCAAAAUAAAAUAUUUCGGCUCUCUAUAAUUC